CAAUUGUGUAAGAACCCUAAGUUGAUUUUCCAGAAAUUAAAUGUUCAGUGAUGGAGAUUAAAGGUUAACAGGUUAGGGCUUGGAUCUCCUAACCUGACACUACAUCAUGAUAACCAGAUCAAAGUGGGAACAAAGGUUUGAAUAAAAUACCUGUCGGAGACGACGAUGGAGGUGGCGGCAACAGUAAUGAGAUUCUCAGAACCAGCUUGUGAUGACUUGAAUUGAUUGCCAUUGCUUGAUGUAUUUUGUGGGAUGGAUGAGGUCUUGUCUUGCAGCCCUGGGAGUCAGUUUGCAGGUUUACAACAUGAUGAUAUUGUGCAGACCUUGGUUUCAUGUGACUUUACAGGGUCAUAUUGUGUUGCAAGUACUUCUGAAAUGCAUACUGAUUGCAGUAUAGUGGCUUGGCCCUUUAGCUUUAUGCUUAACUGCUAGUUCUUGACUGAUGCGGUCCCUUGCUCAUGGUUAGGCACAUGGGGUGGGCAAAGAUUACAUGCCACCAAAGGUUAAGUUUUGGAUAGUCAUGGUGCACAAGGUGAAACUUCAAGACCAAGGAUCACAAUUCAAGAUUAAGAGGAUGAUUAGAAUUGACAUUGGGAUUUUUAGGGCUUGGGUUGACUUUGGUCAAAGUUGACCAAAAAGUCAGCAGUUGACCAAAGUCAACAUGUGGUCAAACUUCCAUUUUCUUGUAAACUUUCCAAUGCUUGAGUGAAUUGAGAUUGAAAUGAAUGAAUUUGAUGAUUAUGGCCAUGCCUUGAAUUGAAAUGUACCCAUUGAAUUUUAUGUAAACUUGACCUUUGAACUAAA